rnacentral:lncRNA from 1 species
UCAAAAAUUGUAAAGCAUUCUAUACAAGUAAAAGACCAUAGGGCUUUAUUUUAUUUUUUAUUUUAUUUUAUUUUAUUUUGUUUUAUUUUAUUUUAUUUUUUAAAAAGCUCAAACAAAGCAAUGUGAGAUUAAAAAAAAUGAAAAGGUAUCCCGUCAAAUACCUUUGAGUUCCUUUUUUAUGUUGGCCGUACCUGGACAUGGAGUCUGCCCUAAAUUGUACCCAGUAAGACUUGGGGAAACUAAUUUUUGCUUUGUGAGUUGCUGAUAAUUGGAUACAGCUUCUUGAGGAUGGGAGCUCAUGUCUACGCCCCUCUCCUAUUAGUGCUGGGACCCCUACCUGGUUUGGAUCUUUGAAGGCCCAAUUCAUACUGCUACUAUCUCUGAGUUCAUUUGUGUGGCAGUCCGGUUGUGAUUGGAAGACACUGUUUUCUUGGUGAUUUUCAUCCUCUCUUCCUCUUACCUUUCUACCUCCUCUUCUGUAUAGCUCCCUGAAUCCUGAGGGGAGGUCUUUGAUGAAGAAAUACCAUUCAGGACUAAAUGUCCCAGGGCCUCUCAUUCUGCACAUUGUCCAACUGUGGCUGUCCCCAUUACUUCCCAUCUACUGCAGAGGGAGACUUAUUUGAUGAUAGCUGGUUUAAACUGAUCUGUGGGUAUAGCAGAAUGUCAUCAAGAGUUAUUUUAUGUUGCUUUAGCAACACAACAGUAUUCAGUUUUUUCCUAGGUCCAUCUAGCCUCAGAUUUUUGACCAGCCAAGCAUGUUGGAGACAGGUUCCAUCUUGGAGUGGGCCUUAAUCUACUCAUAAUGGUUACUCUAACAAAAUUUGUGCCACUACUGCACUAGCAUGUUAUGCAGGCACUUCAUCAUUGUAGACCAAAGGGUUUGUAGCAGGGUUAUGCUUAUCUUUUGUUGCUAGCAUACAGAGCCUCUUCCAGUACCAUGAGUCAGUAGGGGUGAUGUCUUUAAGUAGGCACCAGAUUGACUUUUGUGUUUAAUGAGAUAUAUAGUGUUGUCUAAGAGGAAUAAUUUUUAAAUGCAUUUUUUUUUAAGAGUUUGCAUUUGCUGUCAGUGAAUUUUUAGUAGCUGUCAGAACAAAAGAGCCCUUGAGCUGUCUGGAAGUCUUGUAAGACCAGCAUGACCCUGUUACUUUCUCUCAGAGCGUGGUGGUUAUUUUAUUUUAUUUUUUAGAAUUGUUUUAUUUGCAUUCCAGUCAUUAUACCCCUCUGUACCCCUCCCCACAGUUUCUCAUCAUUCUUCCUCCCCUUGCCUCAGAGAGGACCCCCCCAACCAGCCAUCCCCCCUUCCUCGAGGCCUCAAAUCUUUUGAUGAUUAAGUGUAUCUUCUCCCACUGAGGCCAGACCAGGCAGUCCUCUGGUACAUAUGUGCCAGGGGCCUUGGACCAACCUGUGGAUGCUCCUGGUUGGUGGCUCCGUAUCUGAGAGCUCCCUGGGAUCUGGGUUAGUUGAGACUGCUGGUCUUCCUAUGGGGUCGAUCUCCCUUUCAGCUUCCUCAAUCCUUCCCCUAAUUCAAGCAUAGAGGUCCCUGACUUCAGUCCAGUGGUCGGGUGUAAGUACCUGCUUCUGUCUCAGUGAGCUGCUGGUAGGGACUCUCAGAGGACAGCCAUGCCAAGCUCCUGUCAUAAACACAUCAUAGCAUAGUAAUGUCAGGCCUUGGUGUCUCCACAUGACAUGGGUCUCUAGUUGGGCUGGUCAUUGGACCGCCUUUCAGUCUCUUCUCCAUUUUUGUCUCUGCAGUUCUUUUAGACAGGAAUAACUGGGUCAGGAAUUUUGAUUGUGGGUUAUUAGCCCAGUCCCUCCACUUAAAUCCCUGUUUAUCUAUGUACUGGAGGUGGGUUCUUUGAGUUCCCUUUCCCCAGUGUUGGACAUUUUAGCUAAGAUCACCCCCUCAUUGGGUUCUGAAAGUCUCUCACCUCCUGGGUCUCUGGUACUUCCUAGAGGUUCCUCCACUUCCCAUCCUCCAAGGCUGCUUGUCUCCUUUCAUUCUCUUGGCCCUCUGGGCUUCUCUCCUGUCCCUUCACCCCCAUAUCUGAUCUAAUACCCCUUCUCCCCUCCCUCUCUCCCACUCAGGUCUCUCCCUCCUUCAGCCACCUGUGAUUAUUUUCUUCUCCCUUCUGAGUAGGAUUGAAGCCACCUCACUUGGACAUUUCUGCUUGUCACACUUCUUACAGUUGGGCAUUCUGUACUUUUUGGCUAAUAUCCACUUAUCAGUGAAUACAUACCAUGCAUGUUCUUUUGGGUCUAGUUACCUCACUCAGGAUAUUUUCUAGUUUCAUCCAUUUGCCUACAAAAUUCAUGAUGUUUAUUUAUUUAUUUUUUUGGUUUUUUCGAGACAGGGUUUCUCUGUAUAGUCCUGGUUGUCCUGAACUCACUUUGUAGACCAGGCUGGCCUCGAACUCAGAAAUCCGCCUGCCUCUGCCUCCCAAGUGCUGGGAUUAAAGGCGUGCGCCACCACACCUGGCUAUGAGUAGUGUUUCUUAAAAUGAACCUACUUAUAAAGAUUGAACUUCAAUGUGAUGGCAUUCCACAAAGAAUCUGGGAAUUUAUCCUAAUAUUUGCAAUACCCCACUAAUGCUGUUUGGAAUUAUAUUGUUAAAUGGAUGGAACUAGAAAAUGUUAUAUUUAGUGAGGGAACUCAGACCCAAAAAGUGAAUCACUUUCUUAUUUGUGGAUUUUAGCUUUGAAUCUGCAGAUGUGAGCAUAUAACCUGGAGUAGCUACAGAAACCAGGGAAGUGAAAAGGGACCAUGUAGGGCAAGGGAGACAGGGAUAGUAAGAUGUUGGAUGUUGUGAUGGCUAUUCUUGGUUGUCAGCUUGAUGGCAUACAUCUGGAAUUAGCUAAAACCCAAGCUGCUGAGUAUGUAUAACUGCGAGAGAUUUUUCUUGUUUUUUUUUCUUUUUUUUUUAAGAUUUAUUUAUUUAUUUAUUACAUGUAAGUACACUGUAGCUGUCUUCAGACCCUCCAGAAGAGGGCGUCAGAUCUCAUUACGGAUGGUUGUGAGCCACCAUGUGGUUGCUGGGAUUUGAACUUCGGACCUUCGGAAGAGCAGUCGGGUGCUCUUACCCGCUGAGCCAUCUCACCAGCCCGAGAGAUUUUUCUUGAUUGGAUCAUUUGAGGUAGGAGGCCACACCUUUAAAUCUGUGCUACAGGUUCUGGUGGCAGCCUAAAUAGAGGCCAUAGAAGGAAGAGCUUGUUCUUUGCCUACUUGUCCUCUCACUGGGAAGUUCACUUCUUCACUGGAAUCAGAGCCUGUUUCUUUGGUUCUGGCAUGUACUGAAGACCAGCUGAGACAUCCAGCCUCACAGACUGAACAGUUAUUAGAUUCCCCAGUUAGGAGUCAGUCAUUUUUGGAAUAGUCAGACUACAGCCUGGGUAGACAUUCCAAUAAAUUUGUCUCUGCAAGUGAGUGAGUGUGAGUGUGUGUGUGUGCAUUCAGUUCUGUUUCUUUUUAGAACCCUAAUACAGGUGCUUUGAAGGGGAAAUGGGAAAAACAGGGCAGGGAAACUUUUAAUUAAUUAGUGGGGGGCAAUAUAGAGUAAGAGGGAGGAAAGAGGAAUUAAAAAAAAAGCUACCAAGGAUAAUUGAACAAGGCACAGGGAAACAUUGUUUCUUUAAAAUACAUACAUAAAUGUACGUGUAUACGUACAUAUAGUUUAAGUAGAGUUUUUCUAUGUGGGGUGAUAAGGCUGUGUUGGGCCAGGGUGAUUAUCUUAAGAUUAGUAGUCAUCUUAUUACAAGGUCAAAAUAAAUUAAUUCCUAUUUUCUGUAAAACUUGGGUUUGACCAGGACUCCCUUCAUUUUAUGAUAUUUUCCAUGCUCUACACUCUAUACCCUGACCACUACUCUGAUAAAAUGUUCUGUAAAAUGAUUUUGAAAUGUUCAAGUUUCUACAUAACUAGAAUUCCUCUGGAAAUCCUCCAACCCUUGAAACUCCUCCGGCCUUGCAGUUUUGGGGCUAAUAUAAACCUCAUCUUUUGUGUUCAACACUAUUUUUCUCAAACCUCACUCUAGGGAAAUUGCCCUGUCUGGCAGAAAAUAAAGCUUGAGUAAUUUGUCC